UUUCCUACGGGACGCAGCAGUGAGGAAUGUUGGUCAAUGGCCGCAGGGCUGAACUAGCCAAGUCGCGUGAGGGAUGACGGUCCUAUGGAUUGUAAACCUCUUUUGUCAGGGAGCAAAGGGCGCCACGUGUGGCGUUUUGCGAGUACCUGAAGAAAAAGCAUCGGCUAACUCCGUGCCAGCAGCCGCGGUAAUACGGAGGAUGCGAGCGUUAUCCGGAUUUAUUGGGUUUAAAGGGUGCGCAGGCGGAAUGUCAAGUCAGCGGUAAAAUUUCGGGGCGCAACCCCGCCGUGCCGUUGAAACGGGGG
rnacentral:rRNA from 1 species